GUGAGCGAGUGACAGUGUGUAUUAAUGUGUGUGUGUGUGUGUGUGUGUGAGUGUGUGUGUGUGUGUGUGUGUGUGUGUGUGUGUGUGUGUGUGUGAGAGUGUUUGCUGAGACGUGUAUUAUGGUUCCUCUUUUUCAUCUCUAUAAACAGGCAGAGUCUGGAUGGCUUCACACGUCUUCAUUAGUCAGGCGGCGAAGAAGUUCCUCUCUAGCCAGUUACAACACUGUACCCGCAUCAGAAUGCUGUUUUUCAGACCAGGAUGAUAACUUUUUUGGGAUUUGUGGUGCUGAUGGCUGCAUUUUCUCAUGUGAGUGAAAAGAAAGAGCCUGACGAUUUGGUGUACGCCCAGGUGACCACUGGUAGCAACGGCAGAAGACAAAUAUCAGACAUUCAAGGUACAAGAGUGGAAACAGAGGAUGUGGUGUAUUCUGGCGUUGCCAUGGCAAAUAGGAGCAGCAGGCAUAACAGCAGGAAGCCACCAGCAGGUGAGUCUCUGAAAGAGGGACUUUAUUCACACACACACACUUACACAAACACAUACACAC
rnacentral:lncRNA from 1 species